CCCUUAGAUGUUCGGGGCCGCACGCGCGCUACACUGAAGGGAUCAGCGUGUCUCACCUCGCCUGAGAAGGCCGGGUAACCCGUUGAACCUCCUUCGUGCUAGGGAUUGGGGCUUGUAAUUCUUGCCCAUGAACGAGGAAUUCCCAGUAAGCGCGGGUCAUCAUCCCGCGCUGAAUACGUCCCUGCCCUUUGUACACACCGCCCGUCGCUCCCACCGAUUGAGUGGUCCGGUGAGGCUUUGGGAUCUGAGCGGAAAGAGCGUUUCGCUGUUUCUGCUCGGAAAACUCAGUCGAACCUUAUCAUUUAGAGGAAGGAGAAGUCGUAACA
rnacentral:rRNA from 1 species